AAAAACAUAUAGAAUUCUCAGAAGAUUGCGACAGAUUAUCUUCUAUUGCAGUUCAGAUCAGUUAUAUAAGCUAUAUUUGCUUUUUGCAGAGAAGUUUAUACCUUUAGAACACCAAGAUUCAAGCAAGUAGUGAGGGCAAAAUUUGCUUUCAACACUUCAACUGCUUUACAGUGCUGUUUGAAGCUUGUUAAGCUUAGAAGAAAAUUUUUGAUGAUCAUACACAGAAUUGAAAGAAUGAUAUCUAAUUGAUCAUUUAAAUAAAAUAAAGAAAGAGAUUAAAAAGAAAAAAUAAAAUAAAAAAACAAAAGCAACAGCAACAACAACAACAAUAAUAAAGACUACUUCUCAAUAAUCUCUUCAUCAAUCUUACAAUCAACAAGAUUCACCAAGUACAAAGAAAAACUCAUUGACAACUUCUCAUCAAAAAAACAGCUUGCAUUACACAAGUCAACUUCAUCAUCUGCACUGACAACAACUCAGAGAUCUUCUUCAACAAAUGAUUUCAUUGUAAUACUCUUAUAAAAUCUGAUCAAAUCAUUGACUGCUCUCAGCAUACUCUUUAACUCCUUCAUAAUAUUGUAAUAGUCAUCAUUAUCUCCCUGCUUCCAACACAUCACCUCAUAUAAUCUUCUAAUAUAAAAUUCAACAAUGGAAUGAGACUCUUUGAAAAUCUAUAAUGAUAUCAGUUAGCAUCUAAACUUUCUCUAGAAGUGGCAUAUAAUGAACAUACAGCACAACACUUUAUACCACAGAAAUGACAAUUAUCACACAACUUUCUAACACUGAAAACAAUGCAUUUACAUAAGAGUUUAUAUUCAGCAACAC
rnacentral:sRNA from 2 species